CGUGCUUUGGUUGAGAGCGAGCGAGACAGUAGACUUUAAACAUAGGUGCGAGAGAGAUAGUCGCGUAAACGCAGACGGGGACAAUGCGUCAAUUUAAACCUCAUUAUUGACGAUCGUAAAAUCAUCAAUAUUUCAACAUAUUCAAUUUCAAAACGUCGCGUUUUUAAGUAAUGUUUCAUUUAGUGAGCCAAAUAACUUUCUCUGUGCAUAAUGUCAAGAAGCAGAAGUAGCUAUUCAUUCGGAACCCGUUGUAGUGGAUGAGGGAAAUAGCGAGGUAACGAUUACUCACCAAUAACCUCUUUGAGCUCAUAGUCGUCCUUGGUGUUCGGCCAGCCCUGCACGACCGUGGUAGAGCUCGAGGACGCCAUUUUGUUCGCCAGCGUCGUGCCAAGGCGUGCGUGCUUGCUGGUGCCUCGGGUGCCCCGCGCGAGAAGUAACACGCCGCUCUUUAAACGUGCACUACCGCUGUUAGGUGCUUUCG